ACUUUCCAAAGAAUUCUCCUUUUGGGCUUUCUCAUUUUAUUUUAAGCCCUAAGGUGAAUUUUUUGGGAAGU
ensembl:miRNA Mir186 microRNA 186